CAAAAUUGUGGGUACAACUUGCAGGACUUCUAGAUUGUUCAUGCUAUUAUGUACUGAUCAAAAUGUCUUAUGGUUAAUAACCCAAAACUUUUGAUAAGGUAAAAAAAUAAAAAAUAAGAAAGAUAUUAAUAAGGUGAUGGCGUAUUGCAUCCUAAUUGAAGCAAGCUUAGUUCUUUAUCUUUUGAAUUUAUGUGGCUAAUAGAUGCACCAUCUGCCUUUAUUUCUGUUGGUUUUUAUUGUUGGAUUCUUUUGUACUGUCAUCUAGAAAUUUCCCUAAUCGUUUAGCUCAGGAAGUCCGUAAUAUUGAUUGCUGCAGCCAUAUCUUCAUGAAUCUUGGCACCAGCAUGCAAUGAGAAGGGAAAGAGGCUCGGGAGGUCGAUUCCUCAAUACGAAAAAAGUUCCACUACUGAGCAGUCAAAAAUUGUUCCUCCGCAGUCAUGCAACUCGUCUUGUUCUAAGCACUUAUCCUCCAACUUGAUGGAAUUUCUAGUAAACAAGAUGGGGGAUCCCUGGUUCAAGACAAACACAAAGAGCAGACUCUUUCAAAUGGGAAAGACAAUGGUCAUGCACUAUUUUUCAAUUUGUCACAGUCGACUAGAAAUGAACUGGCCAAUGGACAUCUUAAUCAGGAUAAUUGGAACUUGCUGGUGAAUCAAGUCCCCCAUGGAGUUGCCCUCACCAAAUGAGGAACCGCUCCAACCUACAAAUGCAUGGUUGUUGUCAGGUAAUUCAUUCUUGGCUUGGUUAUUUGUACUAUGCGUGGGAUGAGACGAGGUAGGAAGGUUAUACCGGGGUCUUCAGUCUACCAUUAUUUCCAUUCUCUACCAUCUCACCCCUUCUUUAGAGCAAGAGGAGAACCAUCAAACCAUCUGUAAAUGUUGAUGUGAAUCCUUUCUGGUUGGAGAAUCAAUGUGAUAUUAUGCAUCUCAUUUCAGUGCAUUUCGAUUCUUGGAGUUCAUCUCAUUGUCUUUGUUUUGUUGUACCGCGGCAUCCCCAUGGUAGUGAGGAGCAAUGAAAAUCUAACAAUAGAAGCUGAG
rnacentral:lncRNA from 1 species